rnacentral:pre_miRNA from 8 species
UCUCCGUCUGACUCCACUCGCUGUUCCUUUUUCCUAUGCAUAUACCUCUUUGACAUGCUGCUUUAAAGAGGCAUAGGGCAUGGGAAAAUGGGGCGGCAGAGGUUUUCCACCUGAAGAU